CUCAAGUGAUCCUCCCACUUCAGUCUCCUGAGUAGCUGGGACUUCAGGUACAAGCCAUCAAGCACUGCCAAUUAGUGUACGAUUUCACAAAGAGAUAACUGAUACGAAGGAAAGCCACCUGGCUCUCUGAGAGCAUGCAUAGGACAGUGGAGCUGAUGUACAGGAAGAGUGGUCAGAAAAGCCUUCCUGGAGGAAGUGAUGUUUGAGCUGUUAAAGUCUGAAUAAAAGUUAACCAAGCCAAAAAAGGAGCCAAAACACUCAAGUGGUGCACUUGGGGACACACUGUGGCGUCUGUGGAGAGAAAGAAGAAGUUG
rnacentral:lncRNA from 1 species